rnacentral:misc_RNA from 1 species
GAUGAAGAACGUAGCGAAAUGCGAUAAGUAAUGUGAAUUGCAGAAUUCAGUGAAUCAUCGAAUCUUUGAACGCACCUUGCGCCCUUUGGCCAUUCCGAAGGGCAUGCCUGUUUGAGUAUCAUGAACACCUCAACUCUUUAUGGUUUUCCAUGAUGAGCUUGGACUCUGGGGGUUUUGCUGGCUCACAGUCGGCUCCUCUAAAAUAAAUCAGCUUACCAGUGUUUGGUGGCAUCACAGGUGUGAUAACUAUCUACGCUUGUGGUUUUCCAUCAGGUAACCUUCAGUGAUGGAGGUUCGCUGGGGCUCAUAAAUGUCUCUCCUCAGUGAGGACAGCUUUUUUGAACGUUUGAUCUCAAAUCAGGUAGGACUACCCGCUGAACUUAAGCAUAUCAAUAAGCGGAGGA